rnacentral:pre_miRNA from 1 species
CUCGAUAAACUUCAUUGGUCAGAGCAACACGCAGUCACAUAAGUUUCUGAAAUGUGUCACUGGUUUUCCUCUGACUAAUUGAAGAUAUCGAG